rnacentral:rRNA from 1 species
UACGGAGGAUGCAAGCGUUAUCCGGAUUUAUUGGGUUUAAAGGGUCCGCAGGCGGAUUGGUCAGUCAGUGGUGAAAUCCCAUCGCUUAACGAUGGAACUGCCAUUGAUACUGCCAGUCUUGAGUCUAGUUGACGUAGGCGGAAUAUGACAUGUAGCGGUGAAAUGCAUAGAUAUGUCAUAGAACACCGAUUGCGAAGGCAGCUUACGAAACUACGACUGACGCUCAUGGACGAAAGCGUGGGUAGCGAACAGG